UAAGCGGUAUGUGACAUGUUUGUCACUUA
rnacentral:sRNA from 1 species